rnacentral:rRNA from 1 species
CGGCGCACGGGUGAGUAACGCGUAUGCAACCUACCUAUCAGAGGGGAAUAACCCGGCGAAAGUCGGACUAAUACCGCAUAAAACAGGGGCACCGCAUGGUGAUAUUUGUUAAAGAAAUUCGCUGAUAGAUGGGCAUGCGUUCCAUUAGGUAGUUGGUGAGGUAACGGCUCACCAAGCCGACGAUGGAUAGGGGAACUGAGAGGUUGGUCCCCCACACUGGUACUGAGACACGGACCAAACUCCUACGGGAGGCAGCAGUGAGGAAUAUUGGUCAAUGGGCGAGAGCCUGAACCAGCCAAGUCGCGUGAAGGAAGAAGGAUCUAUGGUUCGUAAACUUCUUUUGCAGGGGAAUAAAGUGCAGGACGUGUCCUGUUUUGUAUGUACCCUGAGAAUAAGGAUCGGCUAACUCCGUGCCAGCAGCCGCGGUAAUACGGAGGAUCCGAGCGUUAUCCGGAUUUAUUGGGUUUAAA